rnacentral:lncRNA from 1 species
AGCAACCCCUUUGCAUUGUGAUGCCUCAACUGCGUGCGAUGCAUGGAUCACAUGGACCAUCGAACCUUCUUAUGGUUUACAUGGAUCAAAUGGUAUCUGCUUCGACCUUCCAUGUUGUAGGAAUUUCUAAUCACUCCGGGUUUGUUUGGCUGUUUCCGCAGGAUUGGAAAGAAAAUUUUGUAGGAUUCAUGAAUUGAGCCUUCUUGUGUAGCAUGGCACUUUAUCAACUAAACUUCAUCCAGUCUAGAUUCUUGAUAAAUCUUUUUUGUCCCACAGCUUAAAGACUAAGAUUUGGGCUAAGUUUGAU